rnacentral:rRNA from 1 species
ACUCCUACGGGAGGCAGCAGUGGGGAAUAUUGCACAAUGGGCGCAAGCCUGAUGCAGCAACGCCGCGUGAGGGACGACGGCCUUCGGGUUGUAAACCUCUUUUAGUAGGGAAGAAGCGAAAGUGACGGUACCUGCAGAAAAAGCACCGGCUAACUACGUGCCAGCAGCCGCGGUAAUACGUAGGGUGCAAGCGUUAUCCGGAAUUAUUGGGCGUAAAGAGCUCGUAGGCGGUUUGUCGCGUCUGCUGUGAAAACUGGAGGCUCAACCCCCAGCCUGCAGUGGGUACGGGCAGACUAGAGUGCGGUAGGGGAGAUUGGAAUUCCUGGUGUAGCGGUGGAAUGCGCAGAUAUCAGGAGGAACACCGAUGGCGAAGGCAGAUCUCUGGGCCGUAACUGACGCUGAGGAGCGAAAGCAUGGGGAGCGAACAGGAUUAGAUACCCUGGUAGUCCAUGCCGUAAACGUUGGGAACUAGAUGUAGGGACCAUUCCACGGUUUCUGUGUCGCAGCUAACGCAUUAAGUUCCCCGCCUGGGGAGUACGGCCGCAAGGCUAAAACUCAAAGGAAUUGACGGGGGCCCGCACAAGCGGCGGAGCAUGCGGAUUAAUUCGAUGCAACGCGAAGAACCUUACCAAGGCUUGACAUAUACCGGAAAAGGCUAGAAAUAGUCUCCCCGCAAGGUCGGUAUACAGGUGGUGCAUGGUUGUCGUCAGCUCGUGUCGUGAGAUGUUGGGUUAAGUCCCGCAACGAGCGCAACCCUCGUUCUAUGUUGCCAGCACGUAAUGGUGGGAACUCAUAGGAGACUGCCGGGGUCAACUCGGA